GGAAUAUUGAAUGUAUCCUGAUAUUUUUCAGAAACUUUUUCCAGAUUGAAGACAUUGAGCAUCAUCCACAGAAGAUAUUGAGAAUCUUCCAGCCUCCUUUGCCUGAAGGAAAGAACAAAAAUGUAUCUUCAGCAUUACAGUCCCAGUCUUGUCCCCACGGAUCUACAUAUUGCACCUCUUCCUCUCUUCCUGUCAGAGAAGAUGUCACCAUUUCCUCAGAAGAAGAUCUGCAUCAUUCACCCACUUGCUGGGAGACAUCAAUCUCUGGAGAUUCUGGAGACAGACGCUGCCAUCAGGUGAUCUACAGGUGUGGAGUUGUAGCCCCAGAGGUUUUGGAGGAGAGCGUACUGGAC
rnacentral:lncRNA from 1 species